AGAGCAGCAGCAGCAGAGUGUGUGUUUGAGUCUGAUGAUGGGAUAGAGUCAGAAACACCAAAACAGCAGCGGUAAAAAGCCCAACUUCAAUGGUGGGAGGCGCGGGCCGGGGAAAGGAAGCAGCGGAGCUGCCAGGCGCUCGCCGCAGCAGGGCAGCAAACUUCACCCCGGCUCCACUCUGCACUUGGCUGCUGGGGGUGAAGGUGGUGCCUGGAUUUUUAAGGUGUGAAUGAAAGAGAGACUCUGCAAUAUUUAGUGUCCAGUUUUACUGGCUUUGAAGAACAGCGGCAUUUACAAUGCCGCCUCCUGCUGAUACAGUGAAGGUGGCUAUAGAAUGGCCAGGUGCCUUCCCCAAGUUGAUGGAAAUUGAUCAAAUACGAUGCAGGAUGCAGAAGACAGCUAUAACCACUGGGAUAUUUUCUAACAGAUCCAAUCUUAAAAAACCACUGUCUGCAAUAAUAAAAGAAAUUUGCGAUGGGU